rnacentral:rRNA from 1 species
UGCGUAGGCGGAAAAUUAAGUCAGUAGUGAAAUCCUGCAGCUUAACUGUAGAACUGUUAUUGAAACUGGUUUUCUUGAAUAUAGUUGAGGUAGGCGGAAUGUGUAAUGUAGCGGUGAAAUGCUUAGAUAUUACACAGAACACCGAUUGCGAAGGCAGCUUACUAAGCUAUGAUUGACGCUGAGGUACGAAAGCGUGGGGAGCGAACAGGAUUAGAUACCCUGGUAGUCC